rnacentral:rRNA from 1 species
CCUACGGGCGGCAGCAGUGGGGAAUAUUGCACAAUGGGGGAAACCCUGAUGCAGCAACGCCGCGUGAAGGAAGACGGUUUUCGGAUUGUAAACUUCUGUUCUUAGUGAAGAAUCAUCACGGUAGCGAAGGAGCAAGCCACGACUAACUACGUGCCAGCAGCCGCGGUAAUACGUAGGUGCCAAGCGUUGUCCGGAGUUACUGGGGGUAAAGGGAUCGCCGGCGGGAAGCCAAGUCAGCUGUGAAAACUACGGGCUUAACUUGUAGACUGCAGUUGAAACUGGUUUUCUUGAGUGAAGUAGAGGUUGGCAGAAUUCCGAGUGUAGCGGUGAAAUGCGUAGAUAUUCGGAUGAACACCGGUGGCGAAGGCGGCCAACUGGGCUUUAACUGACGCUGAGGCUCGAAAGUGUGGGGAGCAAACAGGAUUAGAUACCCUUGUAGUC